rnacentral:lncRNA from 1 species
GUUACAUCUUGGAGUUCCGUGGCUUGUUACGCAUUGCUGAACAUUCAAUGCCCAGGAUACAAUACUCUGACCAUGAAAAACAAUCAAGUGAAGCCUAGGACAACUUGAGCAACCAAAAGAAGUAAUAAUAUCUGCUAUGGUUUAAAUGUGUUCUCCAAAUUUCAUGUGUUGGAAACUCAAUACCCAAGUAUAUAUCCUGAUAGCAUUUGGAGACUGGUUUGCACUUAUUCUGCUCUCU